UAAGAGCCGAAGGCCGGAUAUAUCUUCAACACAUUUCACAUUCAGCCAAAUCUGCGCUUUAAACUCGAGGAAAACUAACCGCCUUUAGUGCGCUGCGACCACCUGCAUCAGAUGAGGUUUUGCCAAAACCAGGGCUCUGCCGCAGCUGUUCGCGGCCACUCCACCACACUUUUCCCGCACAGCCUCCUCCUCAGGCGCAGGAAGUGAGAGUGCUGCAGGACAGGCUCCAGCAUCAGCAGCACGAUCACGUCCACAUUCUCGUCAAGCAGUCUUUGGUGGGCCAGAUACAUCGCCAGCUUGAAAACCCCGGUCUUAACGUAUCCCUCUGUCAAGACAAACAGGGUCUUGUGACUGUAUCGGAUGCUCUGAGUGAGGUUAUCCACCAGCGGGACUCCAGGCGGCCAAUCCCUCUCCUCCAGACACAGAGGAUAUUGCUUCUCUCCUUCCUCUUCCAGUUUAACUCGCAGAUUCCUCAUCACCCAAUCAGAGACAUGUGGAUCUUUGGUGUCAUAAGUCACAAAGACACCAUAAGCACUGUCUGCUUUUAGAGCUCAACUCCGCAGCUGUCGCCUCCUGUUCAGAGUCUUGAUGUGUUUGGAACGAAAUGGUGUCCAGUGUGACUUACGGGAACCUGGCCAUUGAUGAUGACCUCUUCAGCAAAGCGGACUUUAACAGGAUUGGUCUUUAACUUGGCCUUCUUGGCUGCGCUGAUGAAUGCCGAUUUGGGCGACUUUUGGAGGGAAAGAGGAGAAAAAAAAGCUUAAAGGACAAUCAGUUAGUUUGGAGACGAGUCAUGUAUUUUUUUCAGCUCAAGCCCACAAUUCAAGGACGUGCUCCCCUCUUAAAACAUGACAACCUCCCAUUUCUGCACUCAGUGCUGAUGCAAUUAAGGUGGCUCUGUGUAAGGGCAUGAGAGGGAGGACGCCGGGGCUCACUGCUGGUGUGUCAUCGAGGCUGCAAAGAAACGGCUGCUAAACGGAAGCAAUUACAGGCUGGAUUAUGAGAGCUGCUUGGUCCUCUGAGUAUUGUGGAAUACUACAUCCAUGCUUUUUUUUCCUGCAAAUCAAAUCCUCAUUCAAGUUAAGCCACUUGUUAAGUGGCUGUUUUUUAAAGACUCAACACUCAUCAUGCUGAGCCUCUGAAAACACCAUGAACAAAAUGGUAAAUUGAAAUGCACGAUGAGUGGAUGUGUUUAGACAUUACAUUGUUGCAUGGUAUAAAACACUAUAAUCACUGCUGCAGUAUAUAGAUAAUUAGCAGAAAAGAAACAGCGUAUAUGUUGUUCUCUGUGAACUGUGAAGAAAGGCUGAAUGUAUAUGCUCGUGGCACCGUAUGUUCACCACCACCUGGUGCUCUGUGGCUGAUGGUAAACGUUGAUGCGGCAGGUUCAGCUGAGGUCUUGCGAGGAUCUGACAGUACAACAUGAGACGAAUUGGACAGAGUGCAGCAGUUGGACUCUCUUUGAGUUAGCGGGGCUCUGACACUCAGCUAAGGCCGGACUGAUACAGUGCCAGCACAAGCAUAUGGCAUGAUUAAUGACUUGUUUUCAUGGAGUCAAAAAAAAAUCAGCUCUGCAAACAAACAGCCUAUAGGAGGGCACUCGAUUUCAUUCAUAGAAGACAGAGAAACUCACUGGGUACGGCUGAACAACGGUCAACAAUAUGGACUCCUUGCAGCUCCUGCAAGACACAAAAAAUAUGUUUUUACUGAAUGCUUCAUUUUUAACAGGAAAUGUAAACGAGGCAAACAAAAUGGGAAAUCUGGAAAUAUUUCAGGUGUUAUUUUUGAGACAUCAUGGCGGACAGUAGCAGGAGGAACAUUGUGUCCCGGUGAUGCUCCAGGAAGCCCUGUCUUGCUUCCACAGUGCAGAGUUUUACUGCAGAGACUGAGCUCAUUCAAGGCCACAGGAGCUGUGAAGGAGUGGCCACAUGGGCACUUUUCCCUGUGCUAAUGUACUGUUUACAGACUGCAGCACAGGUCAUACGAGGACCAAACGCUCACAGCCAGCCACUCAGCUGUGUCACUGAUAUUAAUCUAAUGAGAUGCAUGAAGAGACAUCAACACCAGCGUACAGCUAAGUCACCGUGCAUGGAGCAGGUGGCCACAAAAAUGUCCAACUGAAAUACUUGUAACAACAAAAUGAAUAAUUUUUAUCAUGAAAUGAUGACAACACAAUGAAAAAAAUAUAAAUCACGAUGGACUAAUUCCAUGCUGAAAGUAUUUACCUCCCUUCAGGAGCCUUCAUUGUUUAUCAUUUACAGCGCUGAGUCAUCAGGGAUUGAAUGUGCCUUACGUUACAAUACUGACUCACCAAAAGCUGGAGCUUCUAGAUACAGAUGUUACCUUGCGAGGCAACAUCUGAAUCCAUCCUGCCAGGCUUCACGCAAAGAUGCUCCAUAACAACCAGGUUAUCCAUUACAAGCUGCGUCAGUGGUAUGAAAUGACAUACACUUCCUGUCUCCUAAGUGGGCGUGGUCGCCUCUCUUGGAUGGUUCAUCCAAUCACCUGCAAAGUAUUUUUGUGAAAGCGCCUGCCCUUCUCCAGUUUGCAUUGACGACUUCCCAGAUGGCCCCUGUUUAACAAACCAUCUGGCAUGUGAGGUUAAUACAGAUGUACUUAUACUACAUCUGUAAUCUAACACAACUUAACACACACGUGAUCUCCAUUUAACUGAUCAUGUGACUUCUAAACAAACUGGCUGCUCCACAAUUAGAUGGAGUGAAAAUAUGUGUUGUAUUUCAUAUUUGUCAUUAAUUAAGUAGAGACUUGUAGAGAUCAAUUUUGUGUUUCUGUUAAUAUUUGUCAAAAAAAGACACAUUAAGUCUUCUCUGAUUCAACGCUGUAAGACAACAAAGCAUGAAAACUUCCAAGAAGGGUGAAGAGCUUUUCUAGGCACUGUACAUUUAUCGACAACAGCAGGCAAAUGGCAUCUCACCUUAGUGUGUUGUCAUACCUGACAAGGUCAAUAACCCUCUCCCUGGGUGCUGAGCUGACUGGCUCAUCAUUAAUCAUGAUGAUCUCGUCCCCUGGGAUCAGCUUGCCUUCUGAUGGACCCCCUGCCAGCACACACCAAACAUGAGUUAAGUAGUAAUAACUGUGCACAGUCAGGCCAUUUUUCCUGAUAGUCUUGGUUUCCUGACUUGUGGCUCAAGGCUUUAAUGAAUGCUUACUCAUUGAGUGCUGUUAAAAUCAAUGAAUCAUCGGACUGAGUGAAUUUCUCCCUUUCUGGCUACAAUUUAGGGGGAUUUCAUCUGGGAAUGUGUUGAUAAUAGCCACGGAUCGAGUGAGUCACUGUUGUAUUGGAGCUCACAGGCACUUUACCUGGUGUGACUGAGCGGACCACCACAGGUUUCUCACUGCCUGCCACAAAUCCAAAGCCAAGCACCGGGUCUCGUCUCAUCUCCACCUUCCGGGGCGCUGGUGGCACAAAUUUGUCCCCGUCCAGACGAACCUCCUCCAGGGAGCUGCUCUGGGAGAUGUGGCUGUGGGAGGAAAUGACAUGUUUUGUUUUUGUCAUUGCUACUGGUUGUUUUUCUUACAUUGUACAACACUGCUUUUGUAUGCAGUAUUGUGAAACCACUAUUAGUGCAUCUACAAAAAAAGAUGUGUAAAUUUCAAUAUUACAAAUUUUGCAAUGAAAAUGUUUGCUGUAUUUAAAAUUUAAA